CCUUUCCCGCGCGACCGGCGAGGGAGGAAGAAGCGCGAAGAGCCGUUAGUCAUGCCGGUGUGGUGGCGGCGGCGGAGACUGCGGGCCCGUAGCUGGGCUCUGCGAGGUGCAAGAAAGCCUUUGAGGUGAAGGUGUAUGAAAGUCAUCAUAACAGAUGUUUUCCAAAAACUUGUAGAAGGUUGUGAAAAAACUACUAGGAUCACGCGGCAUGUAUUGAGCAUAUAGGUUGCUGUAGAUGAAUGUUCUUAGCUGUCAUGUUUAAAAAUACUUCUGCUUCGUUACCUCAAGUAAGUGAUUUGUCAAGCAACUAUGUCUGCUGACAGUUCAGAAAGUAUCUGAUAAACUUAAGGGUGGGGGCAGAUUCUUGUUGAAGUUGCUUUUGCAUGUGUGGUAUUCUCAACAUUAGUUUUUUGAGGGGCACUUGUGAAUAUUGAGGUUAUAUGAGAACUUUGAGUAUGGAAUGAUUUUCACUGUGGUUUCUGACUUUGUUUUGGAGGUGUGGCAUGCAGCAUUUUGGAAGGAAAAUUGAAGACGUGUUCAAGAAAACAUGAACAGAAGCAAAUGAUGAAAAUGAGCAUUUUACUUGAUGUUGAUAACAUCACAAUAAAUUAUGGAGAAAAAUACA
rnacentral:lncRNA from 1 species